GACGAACGCUGGCGGCGUGCUUAACACAUGCAAGUCGAACGGAAAGGCCUGCUUUCCCUUGUGGAUUGCGGGUACUCGCGUGGCGAACGGUUGCGUAACACGUGCGUGAUCUGCCCCCAACUUGGGUAUAAGCCUGGGACACUGGGUCUAAUUCCCGAUAGGACUGCAGGGUGGUGGCUGUGGUGGAAGACGAUUUUCUAGUUGUUGGGUAUGGGCUCGCGGCCUAUCCGCUUGUUGGUGGGGUAAUGGCCUACCAAGGCGGCGACGGGUAGCCGGCCUGGGAGGGCGGACUGGGAAAUUGGGACUGGGCCACGGCCCAGACGCCGACGGGAGGCAGGAGUGGGGAAUAAUGGACGAUGGGCGGAAGCCGGAUGCAGCGACGCCGCGUGAGGGAUGACGGCUUGCGGGUUGUAAACUCCUUGCGGGCGAGAGGAAGCUACCUGGGUUGAAGGGUGGUGACGGUAGUGGUAGAAGAAGCACCGGCUAACUACGUG
rnacentral:rRNA from 1 species